GACGAACGCUGGCGGCGUGCCUAAUACAUGCAAGUAGAACGCUGAAGAGAGGAGCUUGCUCUUCUUGGAUGAGUUGCGAACGGGUGAGUAACGCGUAGGUAACCUGCCUUGUAGCGGGGGAUAACUAUUGGAAACGAUAGCUAAUACCGCAUAACAAUGGAUGACACAUGUCAUUUAUUUGAAAGGGGCAAUUGCUCCACUACAAGAUGGACCUGCGUUGUAUUAGCUAGUAGGUGAGGUAACGGCUCACCUAGGCGACGAUACAUAGCCGACCUGAGAGGGUGAUCGGCCACACUGGGACUGAGACACGGCCCAGACUCCUACGGGAGGCAGCAGUAGGGAAUCUUCGGCAAUGGGGGCAACCCUGACCGAGCAACGCCGCGUGAGUGAAGAAGGUUUUUCGGAUCGUAAAAGCUCUGUUGUAAAGUCAAAGAAACG
rnacentral:rRNA from 1 species